rnacentral:rRNA from 1 species
GACGAACGCUGGCGGCGCGCUUAACACAUGCAAGUCGAGCGGUAAGGCCCUUUCGGGGGUACACGAGCGGCGAACGGGUGAGUAACACGUGGGUGACCUGCCCUCAGCUCUGGGAUAAGCCUGGGAAACCGGGUCUAAUACUGGAUAUGACUCCAUGACGCAUGUUGUGGGGUGGAAAGCCUUGUGCGGCUGAGGAUGGGCCCGCGGCCUAUCAGCUUGUUGGUGGGGUGANGGCCUACCAAGGCGACGACGGGUAGCCGGCCUGAGAGGGCGACCGGCCACACUGGGACUGAGACACGGCCCAGACUCCUACGGGAGGCAGCAGUGGGGAAUCUUGCGCAAUGGGCGAAAGCCUGACGCAGCGACGCCGCGUGAGGGAUGACGGCCU